rnacentral:lncRNA from 1 species
GUCCUGUUACCCACAUUGGCACCGAUAAGAGAGGCAGUAGAGAUGGACCUACAAGGACUUAACGUAUAGCAAGGGCACAAAUGCUUCCAGUGAGAUGUUGUAGUGGAAAUCCUGAGUCGCGGCUUGAAGCAGUGAUUGAGCAGCUGGUGGGAAGGCAGGGCCAACCCAGGGGAGCUCAGGUGCAUGCAGUGCAGCUGAAUGACCGGAAGGGAUAGAGCCAGGAUCCACCCCUUCCCAGACCUCAUUUAAGGGCCGGCAGUGGAAGCAAAAACAUCUGUGUACUCGAGUCCUCCUGAAGAGAAUCCUUGUCUUGGCCUGAGUAGAGAGAGCACUUGCAGAACUGGUAGCUGUUUCCUGUUGAUUGUGCUUCGUGAAAUCAGUUCCUAUACAUCUUCAACUGUGCGCUGUCUUUAUCUUGAACUGAAGCAAACAGGAAAGUUUCCCAUUAGAAUGCAACUCCGAUGGACUGGAUAGCUGUGUGCCCACCCUUGAAGCUGUAAGCAUCCUGGACACCCAUUCCAGAAGGAUGUUUUUGUCAGAUGGAGAUUCCACUUUAGGAAAAUAUUAAAACAAAGAUUUCAAAGGGGCUUCAGAAAAUGCUUAAAGGCCGUAGACCAAAUGCUGUUUUGCUGUCUGAAGAGAUCUCAGCAAAGGGGCAGUAGUUAAAGAGGAACGAUUACAUUGUAAAAAGCCAUAAAACCUUCCAGGAUUCAGAGUCUCAGGGGAAAGCAGAAAGGAACCCAAGACGAAGUCACACAUUGUGGAUCCAUAGAGCCCGACAUCACUAGACUGUGUUGCCAAGAUGGCAUGGCUCAGGCAUCACUACUGGAAGUGCUGGCACUUACCUCUGGGAAAUCAGUGGGACUCACUGUGGAGCAAAGCAUUGUCAGCAAGGUCCCAUCAAGAAGUCACACUGUAUUUUUCUCCAUUGCUCCCUGUGGAGUUCAUGUGUUCAGCCUUCUUUCUAAUGAUGGCACUAAGCAGCUGUCAGCUAUUAUCUGAUGAUGUUGCUGCUUCACAGAUCUGCCUGUUUGAGUUAUAGAAGGAUGCCAGGACCACGCUGUCCUUCAUUACGUGAUGGAGACUCGGUUGCUCUUACAGAAACUCUGAAUCCUGCUGGCUGCUGUAAAGAAAUGAGAAGGAAGUUUCAGUCUUCCAGUUGGAGAGGAGUGACACAGAUGUUUAAGACGCAAGCAGCUUAGAUGUAACACAUUGUAAUAAAGUGUUGCCGUGCUAGGCAAAUGUAUGAGAAUGAUGAAUUCAGUAGUACGCGAGAAGAGGUCAGAUGCUGCAUUGAGUAUCUUCCGUGAGCGAGGAAAUGCUGAACUUCAGCUCAGUAUAUCACUGCUGAAGCUGUGCCCGGCCAUGGGAGAUGACAAGCAGUUGCUACCAGCCAAGCUUUAAAUUAGGAGAGAAGAACCUUUUUCAUUACAUUCCAAAGAAUUGUGAAAGAUGUGGAAAUCACUGCUUGGAAAACUGUACUUCUACAGGGAGCUGAGUGAAGUCCUACUGAUUCUCACUGCAAUGAAGUACUCAGGACACUUUUUUUGAGCCCACCACUACAGUCAUCACAAAGACAACACUUAGUCCAAGAAGAUUCUAGGCCUUCUUCAGAAGGUGCUGCUAAUUCCCCUAUUUUCUUCCAGAAAUGGGAAAAAUGAUCUAUAUUAGGAAAUGCGUUCUUCCUUUCUUCAUAUUUUGAAUUACGGCGCUAGGAAAAUAUUUCUCAAGUGGUUAACUUGAGUUUGACUUCCAACAUCUCUUUAUUUGGGAAGAAAUGAAUUCAAUGGUUCUUUUUAGCACUUGUGAAAAUGAAGGAUAGUUGUGCCUGCACUACAAGAAAGGUGAUUUAGUCGCUCUACUUGAUCAGUACUUUUUGAGGGAGACUUGCCAAAUUCAUCGGUGCUGAUCUGGAAGCCAAAAUAGAUAUCCAUGUGUUUUGAAGAGCGGAAAUGCUGGAACGCAGCUGGAAAGCGGCUCAGGGCUCCUGCCAGUCAUACCGGCUCACCACUAAGAGGGCACAGAUCUCAUGACUGCUAUCCUGAGAAACCUGCUGUCUGCCAGACCCACAGAUGUGUGAGGCUGAAUGGCCAUCCUUCUGAUGGAAUGCAACAGUGAAGUACUCCAAGAGAAAACCUGAAUGACAGUCCUCCUUCCAAGAAAAGAUGAAAUCUUUCCCUCUUGAAGACUUAAAGGUGUGCAGGUAUCAUUAAAGCAUAUACUUUGGAGGCAGUGCUUAAUGUGAGUUGUGUUUUCAGAUUGUUGAAAUGGGUUGGGAGACACCGUAGCUCAUUGUUUUCUGGAAGUGAGUUUCACACACUGCAAAGUCACAUGGGGAUUUCUUUUGGUUGCUCAUGUUGACAGCCAAGCUUGAAGCCACAAAAUGUAGUUGCUGAAGUCCAUAGAAUCAUUGGCUGUAGUGCUGUCCCUAUGACAAAUGGUGCCAGGCUCAAGAGCUAAUGAUCUAAAUGGACAUGGCCAGUGCAGUGAUAAGGGAACAGAUGUAGACACUAAGGAAAGAAAUGUUAUAAUUGGUGCUUUUCUGCAUUAACAAUAAUGUCCUCAUCCAGCGUUCCCUCAUAUACCUGGAAUUAAGAUGCCAAAUGCCCAUUGUGUCAAAGUGAGGCUCACAGGAUGCAGGUGUGGAAGAGGUGAACCGGCAUUUGCU